CUAAAUUCGACUUAAAACUCAAGUGCUUUUGUAAGGCGCGGGCACGACACGCGUGCACGAUUGGCAGCUCCACGUCGACAUUCUUCCAGAUGCAGAUUUGUUCUAUACAGAGAGAGGGAAGCCGACGCGGAGUUUGUCUGACUGGCAGCGCCAGCUGGCGCCGUAGUGUGCACGACUUACUCCAGCCAGGGUGCUGUACUGCAAUGAUUUGUGACAACAGCGAUGCCUUGGAUGAAACUGAGGGUGCACAGUGGCUUUCAAAGUAAAGUUCUGUAAUACACUUAGAUUCUAAUUGUUUGCAGUCAGUGCAUUACAGAACUUUGUUUUGGGAGUUAUGUUCUGUCUAUGGAAAAAGAUAUGGUAUCUCUAAAGGUUGUGAAAAUGAAAUGCAUACAGUACAUUGAUUAUUUUAUUAGCCAGUUGCACAUGUAUCAUUUUAAUCUGCUUUGUUUCUGACUGAUUCAUUUUGAUCAACUACCUGCAUGUAUUUGAGGCUGUGUGGUCCAGUGGUUAAAGAAAUGGGCUUGUAACCAGGAGGUCCCUGGUUCAAAUCCCACCUCAGCCACUGACUCACUGUGUGACCCUGAGCAAAUCAGUUAACCUCCUUAUGCUCUAAGGCGACUUACAAUUGUUACAAGAUAUCACAUUAUUUUUACAUACAAUUACCCAUUUAUACAGUUGGGUUUUUACUGGAGCAAUUUAGGUAAAGUACCUUGCUCAAGGGUACAGCAGCAGUGUCCCCUACCAGGGAUUGAACCCACAACCCUCCGGUCAAGAGUCCAGAGCCCUAACCACUACGCCACACUUCUGCCCUACAUUUCGUCAUGCAGGUGAAAUGUAGUUGUAAGUGACUCUGCAGCACCCUAGUCUCUCUAAGUCGCCUUGGAUAAAGGCAUCUGCUAAAUAAACAAAUAAUAAUGUAUAGUAACCAGACAAGCAGGGAUGGGUGGAAUGUCCUCUCAUUUGUAACUUAUGUUCUCAUAUGUGUUUUGUACAUUUUUAAAAAAAAACUUUUGUAAAGAUUGAUGUCAUUUGUAUUCCAAGCUAAUUUGUCUAAAGCACCAUGAUCAGCUUUAAGGGUAAUAUAUUAUGAUACAUUUUGUGGCUGUAAUACAUGAUCAGCAUUUAGAUACAUUGGAUGAAAUUUGUAACAGUGUAAAAUGUUACAGAGAAAUCCAUAUUUACAGUGGUAAAGAGAGAUGAGAAAGAAAGAUCAUCACAACCAAACUAAGGUAUACGUUUUCAUGCAAUAUUACACAUGCUUUUCCAGGCAUAGUUAAAUCAUUCUCAGAAACAUUUGAUGUAUUUUGAAUUGCUUUGAAACUGUGGUGUAGUAUAAAAUAAAUAUAUGUUAGUCAGUUAUAAUCCGAGAGUAAGCAAUGAUACUUAAAUGUAUGUGGCUAUCACAUUUAAAUUCAAAUACAAUUCAUUUUUCAUGUUUUGUUGAGUUUUCUUUGUACUUACUAGAACUAUUUAAUUCAACUCCCACUGUUGUAAAUUCUAGCAAUGACUAGCACUAGUUUAUCCUGCUUAGAUCUAGAACAAGUUUUGCUGUGUUUUAGCAGGUGAGACUGGUUGAAGAGACUAAUACUGGUUAUACUGAUUUAAAAAAAAACAAACAAACAAAAAAAACAGUCCAUUUAAGCCAUGGAUGUCUUGUCAACGUUUCCAUGUAAUUGUUUUAUGUAUAUCUGUUUCUGGGCUUUAACUGUCAGUUAGGCAAUACACAAGAAACUGUUUAAUUCUGUAAUUCUGUAUUGUUUUUUCUAGCAAGUCUUCUAAAAUAAAACAUACUGGUCAAUAAAGAUUAUUAAAUUGUC